UACGGGGGGAGCAAGCGUUGUUCGGAUUUACUGGGCGUAAAGGGCGCGUAGGCGGCCAGCACAAGUCAGUUGUGAAAUCUCCGGGCUUAACUCGGAAAGGUCAACUGAUACUGUGCGGCUAGAGUGCAGAAGGGGCAACUGGAAUUCUCGGUGUAGCGGUGAAAUGCGUAGAUAUCGAGAGGAACACCUGCGGCGAAGGCGGGUUGCUGGGCUGACACUGACGCUGAUGCGCGAAAGCCAGGGGAGCGAACAGG
rnacentral:rRNA from 1 species